rnacentral:rRNA from 1 species
UACGUAGGGUCCGAGCGUUGUCCGGAAUUACUGGGCGUAAAGAGCUCGUAGGUGGUUUGUCGCGUUGUUCGUGAAAACUCACAGCUCAACUGUGGGCGUGCGGGCGAUACGGGCAGACUGGAGUACUGCAGGGGAGACUGGAAUUCCUGGUGUAGCGGUGGAAUGCGCAGAUAUCAGGAGGAACACCGGUGGCGAAGGCGGGUCUCUGGGCAGUAACUGACGAUGAGGAGCGAAAGCGUGGGGAGCGAACAGG